CUGGUUUCUGUCACUUUUUAGUAGAUUUGGAUAAAAUAUACCCUUCUCAGAUCUCUUUUAUAAUGUCAGACAGACUGCCAGAUCCGGACAGUGACCCAAAGUCUCCAAAGAAGAUUACGAGGCACCUCAGUUCCUGCACCUGGACCAGUGAGCGAGAUGCUCAGAUGUGAUACCUGCCGCCUGCCAGAACCUGGCCGAGACUGUGGACAAAGCUGCUGGACACUGGAAAAUUGAUUGCACCCCUUUGCCUAGACAAAACAAGGUCAGUCUUUUCCAUGUCCGUCUUCCACAGAGAGAAAAAAACUCUCACAGUAUAGGCUUGGCGAGGAUUGCUGGUCUUUGAGACACCUGC
rnacentral:lncRNA from 1 species